rnacentral:rRNA from 1 species
UACGUAGGCAGCAAGCGUUGCUCGGAAUCACUGGGCGUAAAGGGUGCGUAGGCGGGUCUUUAAGUCAGGGGUGAAAUCCUGGAGCUCAACUCCAGAACUGCCUUUGAUACUGAGGAUCUUGAGUUCGGGAGAGGUGAGUGGAACUGCGAGUGUAGAGGUGAAAUUCGUAGAUAUUCGCAAGAACACCAGUGGCGAAGGCGGCUCACUGGCCCGAUACUGACGCUGAGGCACGAAAGCGUGGGGAGCAAACAGGG